UGGGGAAUAUUGCACAAUGGGGGAAAGACCCUGAUGCAGCGACGCCGCGUGAGCGAAGAAGUAUUUCGGUAUGUAAAGCUCUAUCAGCAGGGAAGAAAAUGACGGUACCUGAGUAAGAAGCUCCGGCUAAAUACGUGCCAGCAGCCGCGGUAAUACGUAUGGAGCAAGCGUUAUCCGGAUUUACUGGGUGUAAAGGGAGCGCAGGCGGCAGGGCAAGUCUGAUGUGAAAUACCGGGGCUCAACCCCGGAGCUGCAUUGGAAACUGUCGUGCUGGAGUGUCGGAGAGGCAGGCGGAAUUCCUAGUGUAGCGGUGAAAUGCGUAGAUAUUAGGAGGAACACCAGUGGCGAAGGCGGCCUGCUGGACGAUGACUGACGCUGAGGCUCGAAAGCGUGGGGAGCAAACAGGAUUAGAUACC
rnacentral:rRNA from 1 species